GUCGAACACGGUAACGCACUUCUAGGGUUUAAGACGCAGGUACUUCCGGCCAAAACGCGCUCCUCUAUACGCAGCUACGCCACCUUCGCUAGGUUUUGGUAAAGAGAAGGAACCUACAAAGAAGAAGAAGAAGAAGAAGAAGAAGAAGAAGAAGACGAUGACAUUGAUGAAUAGGUCGCCCUACGUCUCUCUCUUGUCCAAAGCCCUUGCAUUCGUCCCUUGCUGUCGUCCGGCCGAUGCUGCCCUUUUUCUCGCAACCCAUUCUUAUUCCGCCGCCUCCGGUGCUCCAGAGAGCAGCCUUAUGGCUGAAUACCUGGUCAGCUACUGUGGCUUCCAUCCUGAUCAGGCGGCCAAAGCCUCGAAGCUCCUUGGUCGCGUCGAAUCCCGCCACCAGCCUGACUCCGUCCUUGGCUUUUUUAAAAGCUACGGUUUUGACAACACCCAGGUGAAAAAGGUCAUAUCUGCAAACCCCCGGUGGCUUCUCCUCGACGUGGAGAAGACCCUGGCCCCAAAGUUCCGAGCUUUGCAGGAUCUGGGCUUCUCCUGCUCCGACAUCACCCACCUCGUCAGAUCGAAUAACCACGUCAUCAGCGACAAAUCCCAGACCAUCUUGUCCAAGAUCCAAUUAUGGCAAUGCCUCCUCGGGUCCAACGACUUACUGAUGAACUUGUGCAAGAAAAACAGGAGGUUUCUCGGGUAUAGCAUCGAGAAGACGAUCCAGCCUAACACUGAAAUUCUAAGGGAUUGCGGGAUGACGGAUCAGAAGCUCUCAAUGAUCCUAAGGCAAUAUCCUCUCCUCAUAACCCGGAAUGCUGAAACCCUGAAGGCGUUAAUCAGUCGUGCCGAGGGUUUGGGAGUAGCUUGCACCUCAGGGAUGUUCCCCUUGACCCUGACUGUGCUCCACAACGUCUCCGAGAAUAACUUCAAGGCUCACUUGGAGUUCUUCGAGGGCUUCGGGUGGUCCGAGGAUGAUUUCCUUGCUGCAUUCAGAAAGGCUCCUACGUUUGUGCAAAUUUCUUUAAAGAGUUUGCAGAGGAAGUUGGAGUUCUUGGUAAAUGAAGCCGGAUGUGCUCCAUCUCAUAUUGCACUUCGGCCAGAUAUUUUGUUGUGCAGUUUGGAGAAAAGGUUGAUGCCAAGGCAUCAGAUUGUGACAGGCCUGAAGUCUAGGGGAGUUUGCAUCAGUAACCUUAGUAUGUCUACAUACGUGAAAUAUUCAGAGAAGAAAUUUGUGGAGAAGUUCGUCAACCGCUACAAGGAGUAUCCAGAACUCAUUGAGUUGUAUAAUGGAGUCCCCAAAAACAUCACUGCAUUUGAUCGUGGAAAUGCAUAAUGCAUAGCACAAGCUUUUGUACCAGCAAGUUAUGUUUCCAGAUGAUCCGUAGCUGGGGAACUAUGGAUUGAGAAGUGUUCGAUUCUAGCAAGGUAGGUACUUGGUUAAAUUAAACUGAAGCACUGCUUACUCCUGUUGAGUUAUCGGGAUCAAGAGAAGUUUUAGAUGACUUGCACCCUAUCGCAUGUUGAUCAUCGUAGAGAUGUUUUCCUAACAAAGGCUUGAGUCGUUAUCAGCGAAGAAUUAUACAUGUACUGUACUGCCUCAUAACUAGCUGCUGGAUAGGGUCAGGUUCUUUCAGUAGGAAAAGACUGAUGCUGUUUGCAAGGCUUGAUACUUUUUGUGGGGGAUUUUGUCUCUAAAAGGACUGAGAUCCUUUCAACUUGUAGAACUAUAUAUGUUCUAGGAUUUUAUGCCCUCUAAAAUUGCUUGCUAAACAAGAUCAAUUUAUUUUUUAUCGUUAUUAUCAGGUUUUGUUGGUAA